UUCUAGAAAAGGCAAACUGCUUGAAAGAGUAGGACGCAAAGCAAAGGGUCUAAGGUUCUCAAACUACGAUCGCCUGGCUGCCAAG
rfam:Oceanobacillus picturae, S1, WGS project CCAX01000000 data, contig: 000001